CCCCUUGCUAGUUAGUCUAGGAGUCCCAUCCUUUCUUUUCCCUUGAGGGUAACUAAUUCCAUGUUCCUUCUCUAGCCCCCGUCUUGAAUACAAGGCAAUCUUUCACCACCAGGCAAACUUUGGCCAGCUUAGUCUCGGACGUCAGUUCUGAUACGGACUAAUUAUGUACCGGGGUUUUACAAACUUCAGUGUUGAAUCCUGUCUUCAAAUGACAAUUUAGAGAAAGCCCAAUAUAGAAAAGAGAUCUAGUCAUAGCUGUUCUUAUACAGGCAGGCAUGAGGAAGGCCCCAAAGCCCAUGUCUGCAGCAUGCCUCAGUUACGACUUAUACCUACUGUUUGAUCAAAGCCCUGAGCAAGGUGGAAUUACUAAGACGUGACUCAUUAUAUCCAGAUGGUACAUUAUAUGGUACAUUGUAUUGAAAUGUUCGCAUUUACCUUCUUUCCCUGACCUUCCAUUCCACCAAAAGAAAUCCCAAGAUCAGUCCAAUUUUGAGUAGAAGACAACUUAGAUCUAAUCCAGCCUUAUCCUUCCCGUUUUAUAGAUGAUCAAGAGAACCUCAGAAGAAGCAACCUAACCUGGUCAGAAGUAAUUCAUGGUAGAGUUCAGUGGUGGAACAAGCUGUACCGGGGUGUUCAAGACAUGAUACUACACAUGGAAGCUAUGUUUCAGGGACAGCCGCUGUUCCUGGGUAGGUUGUAUAGUAUAUUGCCACAGUCCUGGAGGACAUGGGGAUCUAACCAGGGAUCCAGUUCUGGGAAGUGGCAUUCAAUAUGAGUUUAGAACAUGGGCGGAAGAAGUUUGUAGGACCAACAGCAGAUCUGACUUAAUGCUAAGUGACCACUGCUGGCUCUCCAUGUUCUAACUUAAUAGUAUUGGCUCUAGAUCCCGAGUUAGAACUAUGCGGCUUUACCAGUGAAAAGACGGGAAACUCAAGACACUGAAAGCCAAGCAAGUCAUCUUUCCUGCCCACCCUCUGCCUUCCCACCAGCAACAAUUAUUCAUGUUUAAUAACCACCUUGUCCUCUAAAAUUUCCCCAGUGUACAGAAUGUAGUCUGAAACAUGCUGCGUUUUUCAAGUAAGUUUUCCCCAUCUUCAGGGACAUUUUCUCUAAACAGAAUACCCUUGAGCAGAGCUUCCUAGCUGGUGAGUCGCAGCACAGUGGGUUGACAGGUAUAUGAUACAGAUUUCUCAUUCCUUGGGAGAACUGCGGACUUCGACCAUUAGCAACUUCAUCUAGCUUUCUAAAUCCCCUCCAGAGUGUGGGCUAUACAAGUAUUUUCCACGUGGGCCAUGAGUUAAAACGAUUUGAAAGCAUUGUGCUGGAAUACUGGGCUAUGGGACUGUGUUCCAGUUUUGUGAGCGGCAUGUUACAAACAUCCUUCUGUGCAGGCUCUAGAUUUUAGUAACUUUCUGACCUCCAUUCUCUUUACUAUCGAAGAAUCUCAGACAGUUAUGGCUGCAGACUAAGUCCUGUUAUUAGCCCAAAAAGUAAGUCUCCCAACUUCUGGAAUGAUCAACUAUUUCCUCAUCCUAUGCAAAACAUCCUCUGUAUACUUCGUUUAAUCCCAACCACCCUUGUACCUAUUUCUAACCAGACAACUGAGGCUUGGUGAGGGGUAAUUUAGUUGCCAAUGGGUUACACAGUAAGAUGACACAUCUAGAACUCCAGCUCAGGCCAGGGUGCCAAAUUUGUGUUCUCAUCCCCAGAUUAUGUUGCCUCAUUGCAAAACUCAGAUUAUUCCAUGGAAAAACAGCAUCUCUGGAAUUCCCAUAUAGGAAUGAUAGCCUCGUUUGCAGGGAAGUGCACUCAUGGCUUGAGACCGUGUUCACAUAUCAAGCUGCAUUAACUGAGCAAGAACCGAUUACCUUGUCCAAGAAGAGAAAGCAGACUGAGGGCUAUCAUGGGAGGAAGAGGAGGUGGCUAGAACUCUUCAAGCUACUCCCUGGCAUAGUCACACAAGGGAAUUUGAGCAUGGCAUCCCAAGUGUAGCCAUCUCUAAGAUUUAACCACUUUUGAAUCUUUCCCUUAUGAAAUCUUGGCAACUUCCAUUUUCCAACAAUUUUAAGAUCCUUCUCAAAUUUUAGUCCUUCCUAAGCCACAAGAGACUCCAAAAGCUAUAGCUCUAAUAGUUGACAUCGUUUAUCCAUAACCUACAUUCCUCCAAGAGUGAAAUAACCUCAUUGACAGAAUGAUCUAAGUGGAUGAGCAGAUAAGGGGCCAUCCACAUUCUCCCUCAUCUCCAAACCAUACCAACAGUCUCCAAAAGCUCCCUAAUAUCAAGAUGGGUAUGCAAGUUACAGGUAAGAUGGAGUAUAAACAAAAGUUAGACUCUUGGAACAAUGAAGCUAUUAAGUGUUACAUCACUUGACAUUCAGUGAAGCAGGGAUUCUUGAUAUUGCACAUCUGCAAAACCCAACACCUUUUGAAUUAGAACAUUUUGAAUUUUGCUUUCUAUCAAGAGACCCAUGCAUAAGAAAUUCAGAUCUGGAACCCAUUUAUAUUGCAGAAAGAUAACCAUAGCUUUACAGGAUAAAGCUGUAACUGGCUAGCAAUGAAGGAUUGAAGGUGAGGCUUUUUUUUUUUUUUUUAAAUAUAGCAUUCCUUGAUUUAUUUUGGCUGUUAUCUCCUGAGCCUUUAGUCUUCUUUCAUUCUGAUCAACAUACUCAUGUGAAACUAGUAUCCCUAUUAGGAAAGUUAUUGAAACAAGACAUGGUAGUUUAGUUACGUUACCCCUUCUGAGUAACUUUGCUGUCAAUCCAACCUAGAUUAAGUUAAGAAGCAAACUCACUUGUCACAUUAACUGAGCACUUGAAGUACUGAUGUAAAAUAUUCAUUCUGCAUAACAUUUAGUGCAAUAAAUUGUACCGCACUUUCACUUACCUAUCAUUCUGCAAUUAUUUAAAUAAGUGAUAAAGAAUAAGAUACACAUUUCUUCCCUUUGUUUUGUGUUUAGCAAGUGUAGUUUUAUGUCUAUUAAGUCUUACAUAAUUUGGUUUUUGAUAGUUUACUGUGUCUUAAACUGUCGACCCAUGAUGGAUUAGAAACAAACUGUCCCUGUAUCAGACAGUCUGAGAUGCACUAGACUGGGCCACCCCAGACAUAACUCACUUGAUAAAUUGCUACCUAUAAAGUUAUUUUACUCCUGCCAUCCCAUGAGGGGGAUCUCAAAACAUUAACAGUGCAAUUGAUUGUUUGGAGUGCCCAUGGCAUCAUUUCAGGAGUCCUACUUUCAAGUUCAUGUAGGAACUUGUGACAUCGGUUGAUCUGAUAGAUUCCUCACCCCUGUAAGAGGUAUAGGAACCUUUAAAACAUUCUAAAAUACACUCAAUUUCAACAAUUCAUGGGGCUAGGUGGAGGACAGGAAGACAUUCAACAGCUGGCACUUCAGAAAACUUCCAAACUCUUAGGAAUCACUAAUAGAUGGAUCUAUUAAUUCAAAUUGCUAGUAAGUGUCCCCAUAGAACUGUAGGGACACGCCAAUUACCAAGUUACAAAAACUCAGGCAAUACAUUUAGUACCUGAUCAUAAAGAAAAACAAGCCCUGUAAGAUGCAAUUCUAAGCUUUCACGUUUCUAAGCUUCAAACAAAAGCCCUAUGAAUCAUGCUUGUGGUUUUAAAUAUUUGAGGAAACUAUUGCCAGAGUCAUUACCCAUUUACCCAGAUCUUGUAGAUUCUUAGACAAACAUAUUUAAUGGUUUUCAUCUGUUAGUGUCACCUGACUGAGGUGACUAACUGGGUGUCUGACAGCUGGAGUAGAGAUUACAUUUCUUUCAGCCUGAAGUGUUGAGUCAAACAGAUACCAGUCAGUUCCCCAUGCCUAGGUCCUUUGUCUACUGCCAGGUUUGGGCAUUUACCUCCAGAAUGGUUCUGUUUCAAUAGGCAAGGGAAGUUACCUAAGAGUACAUGUGCAAGAAUUGCCUACAUCAACAAGUCACAUAUCUUUGGCCCGUCUCUUGGAUUUUCUUUCCCCAGAGUAAUCAUGUUACAUUAACUCAAGACCACAAUUGGCAUUUGCAGACUCACCUUACACAAAUGUUUUUAUUGCUGGAGUAGCGGCCAAAGCUUGGCUUGGGAAAAACAGUGGAAGUCUGUCAAGACUGGGAUGAGGGGACCACUAUUUUUGAGUUGAGCUUUUCCAAAUAACUUCUGAAAGAACAGACAAAGCAGGUGCCGCCUGUAAGAACAGCAACUUCUUAGAGGUUAACACAAUUCGACAAGGCAUCAGGUUGUGGGAACACUUCGUUACCAUGAAGAUUAGCUGCCUCUUCUGGUGGCCCACAAGCAGCUCCUGCAUCACAACUGGCUCCUAGUCACAAGCUGGCCCAGUCCAUUAUGCAGCUCAGUGGUUAAGAGCACAUUUGGAAAGUGCUUUAAGUAUUGAACAUAAUUUAAAAACUGAGCCAAACAAAGCCACAAGCAGUAUUCGAGAUUCAUUACUCUUAGCAUCAGUCACACAAGAAACAAUCCAGCAUCAUAGAGUAGCAGAGUGAAGAGAAAGCACCUAGGCAUCCAAGUAAAAUGGAGUUAACCCUGUGUGACAAGGUAAAUGGGAUCCCACUUCUCAGAUACAUAAUGGGGUAACAAACACUUCUUACAGGCUGGAGAUCUAGUUCUUAACUAAGGAUGAUAUUCAAGUUAUUUAGCAGCCAAAUCAGUCAUGUUGUAGGAGUAGUAGUAAUAGGGCCACCAACUUAUGUAGCAUAAGUUACUCAAUAACACUUUAAUAGGUCCAAAUCCUUCAAUGAGUUUUAUAGUGUAGCUACUAGUAGUUCAGUAACGCUCCUACUUAGCUAGGAUUUAGGAAAGGACGCUAUUACCUGCAGAUGACUUCUCCAUUGGCCUAAUGAUCAUUAGGCCUCUAAAGAUUUGUUGCAGCUGGAGGGUGGCUGGGCAUUCAGCACACAAGAUGUGACAAGGUACAUAGCUGCAUGCAAUCAACCUGAGGUCACCUGAAAAUGCCAGUAGCGUGCCCCUGCAAUGCUGGGAAGUUCCUGAGAAUCAGGCAGAUGCUGCGCAUGCCCACUCAACGACCCCGAAUCUCUCACUCGUGGCCACCUGGACCAUCAAACAUCUGUACUGACGCAGCUCCUGGGCUCCCAUUCUCCAACCUGGGGACUGCUGCUGGCCGUCAUCAGUGGGGGAUUUGCCAUUUUGACAAGUAGAUAGCUUUUACCAAUGAUUGCCUUAAUUAACACAGAGCAUACUGACUGCUUCUAUAGCUGCUCAAACAUCUCACAGCCCACAAACAGCUUUGCAUUGUAUAUUUUAUUGUCACACCACCCCAAAUGACAGACAGCCAAUUUGCUCAUGUUUCAGCCUCCUAUAAGGGAGAGCAUAAUAAUGUCAGAAUCCAGAUUGUUACAUCUACCACCACCAUCCACAAUAGCAAGACCUCUCAAAGUACCCUCAGUUAUUUCUGGGCCUCAGGCUCAUGAAAAGUUGGCUCCAGUUCUGCUUUGGCCUUAUUUCUGUCAAGUGCCCAAAAGCCUAAGGGAAGUGCUACUGGUUUAACAGCUUCCAACCUUCCAGAUAUGCUAAAGGGAUCUGCAUUUCUCUCCGUGUCACAUUUCAUUCUCACCAUGUGAGAAGCAAACUAUGGUUCUUGAACAAAUGGGGCUAUCGCUUCGCUUCCUUACUACAUCAGUCACCUUGGCCUCACAGCAGCCCAGCUUGACCCUGGGGCUCAAUCUCAUGCCCUUCAGCCUCACCACAGUUCUGAUGCAGGUCUGAGGAACAGACACCUUUUUCUUCUCCAGUUCCCAAAAGCUUCCCCUUAGCAGUUAGAUGCGUCCAGUGAAUACAGACACCUGGGGAAGACCAGCCCAGCUGUUCUAAAUUCCAACCCAGGCUGAGUCAGUUUACUAGAAAGAAGAGUUUAGUAAGGAGUGUCGUGAAGAAGAUUCCCCCCUACUCUCGAAAUUUAGUUCAGUUUGAUGUGUAUUUACACUGGUCCUUAUUCAGGCACAAUAUCAUUUCAGGUCCUAAUAAACCACCUUUUUGCUGUAUACUCCUGUUGGCUUAUAAGAAGUCUCCUUAACAUGGCACAUCACUGAAAAGCACACUGAGCCUAAUUUGAGUGUAACUCAGCAGUAAGAGGCAGGGUCCCUCCAACCACGAAGAGACUCUAACGUGUUUUAGAGGAGGGGGUGGGUGGCGAGUGAGGCCUGGAUAAGGUAGGUAUUAAAUGCUUAAGUGUUUGAUCUCUUUAAGAUACCACUAACUUAAGUUGAAAAAUACUCAAAGAGCUACUUGUAUUUUUCCAGUAUCCUGUACUUAGAACAGCCAUGAGUUACUAAAAACUUUAGAAUGUGCGCUCUGGGUACACAUAGCACAGAGAAUUCCAAGACGAAGUCUGCCAGCAAUAAUCAAAUAAAGCGAUUGCUAGGGGUGCGGAAGGUGGUCAUAGCACUGACGUAGAAUCGUGUUAAACAUGAGGCAGUCAUUCUGACAAAGUUCAAGUAAGUAGUUUCAAUGGUUCCAAUGUUCUGGUUCCUGGGAAUUUCCCUCUUGACAGGUUUGCACACAAGUGACAGCAAUACUGAAACUACAUCGUAUGCAAGUCAGUUUAGACCAACAUCUCUAGAACAGGCGGCAAGUGAAGUUCAAGAGGAAUAGGCCCUGAAGUUACCUCUUCUUUUAUCUAGUCCAACACGAUAGCCCCUAGCCAUUGAACACUUGAGACAGGGCUAGUCUGAAUUGAGAUGUGCUGCAACUUUAAGAUGCAUACUAGAUUUCAGACUUAGUAGCAAAAAUACGUAGGCACGUAAGUUGUUACACUUCGAAAUAUUUUGUCUAUUGGGUUAGUAUAUUUUUUUAAUGAGGCCACUAUAACACCUGAAGUUACAUAUGCAGCUUAUACUUGUUUCACAUGAUGUGCCUCUUGGACAGCAGCAUCCUAGAGCCUCCUGUAAGUUCCCUAUAAAGACAGUGUGCAGAGAACCAUGAUCUAGAAGUUUCCCACAAAUGCUACCUUCAGGUAGAAGUUGAGGGUUCUUAGGGAUUAGAAAACUUGAUUUCAAAGAACUAGACAAGAUCAUCGACUUGUUUAGUUUAUACCACAGCCCAUCUCCCCUGGCAGUUCCUAAGACCCAAAGAUGAAAUGGUAUAUUAAAUAUCUUUAGACAACUAUCGCUUGUCGUUUAGUUGACCAUGCCUGAUCUAGCCUCUGAAAAUUCACUCAACUGCUUCCAAAACCUCACCAGCACAGAGCAAAACCAACCUGGGCUUUUCCAAGCUUCCUCCUCAUUUCAGAGCUUAGCCUUGCUUCCACUGGGCCACCACAUUAGGGAAAGACAGACCACAUUUUGUGGUCACCUACAGGGCUUUCCUGCUACUGAAAGGAAGCUUCAUUCCCCUCACUUCACACUUCCUACUAGGUUCUUAUCAAGCCCCUCUCUAUCACCUACUCUGAAUAAGACUGUGCCGGGGUUAGACACACAAGGUCAUUUUGAUGAAAAGUCUAGGGCAAAGUCGAAAUCCACUCCAGCCUUGUUUCCUAAGUUACUUCAAAGAAAAAAAAGCCCAACUUGCAAGUCAGCUCUGAUUUCCAGCCAGCAUGCCCUCACCCCUUCCUGUGGAGAGUUUCGCAUUGCCCUUAUGCCACAGCUGGGUGUUUGUGUUCCUUCUCAAGUUACGCUUUAGGCUCCUGGAGGGCAGGACCCUCACUUCCUUCAGCCACCGGUCUCACAACUAUUGCUGUAGUUUGAGAGGCAGGAGAAAGGUGAACUGUUGGACCUGGAUAACCUCUGGCCACCACAGCUCUCACCCACAGGGUUCUAAAGGAUUGGUUCCCUGGAGGAAAAAAUGCCAGCCAUCCGAGUUCAACAGAAUCAGAUGCCUGAAAGAGCUGUUUGUAAGCAAAUUGCUUUGCAGAUCAAAGGAUUCAGGACCACGGUCAAGGCCAUGCUCCCUGCAACUCCACCUCUAUGCCUCUUAAGACAUCAGACUCGGCAGUACUGAAACAAGCCAUAGACCCUGUGUGUGUUCACUUCUACUCAAGCUCAAACCUGCAACAUAAGAAACAAGAUUAGGCCUAGAUCAGGAGUUUCCCUAGAGGCAGCCUCAGAAUUUGAAGAGGUUACCGCUGUAACCACAGCUGCAGAGCUUGAGGUGUCUCCCUGAACAGAAGCUGGCUUUUAAGAACUGUAAUGCGUGAGUAUCCUUCAAUAAGCGGAAGUAUGGUAUUUAGACCCUUUCAAACUGUGUUCCCCAGUACCUUGGGUAUUCUCUGGGCUCCUUGGGACAGGAGAUUAGUUGAAGGGUUCUGCACACACUCCCCUGCUCCUAGAUCAGGUUUCUUACUUUGCUAUACAUCGAGAUUCCACAAAAAUGUUCAAAAGCCACUGGCUUGAAUUACAACAUCUCAUGUUGGCUCACCUACAGGUAGAUUAACGGGAGGAAGGGCUCUUGAUAAUCAGUUAGCUACCUUUAACAAAUCCUUCUAGAGAAACUAAUAGCUUCUCCCAGAGGCACGGGUUUUAGUUCACCUGGUUCCAACUUCUAUUAUUGAAUUUCUUCACCUUUGCCCAUUUUCCCACUACCCCCUUUUCAUUGCUUAGUACUUGUCUGAGUGGCUUAUUACAAUUAAGAUAAAGUAGUUGUCUUCAACUAAGGACAGUUUGAUAGAUUUGGUGCUAAGAAAUGAGACAUGAUACAACCAGUUUCCUAGGAAAGCAGCCACUGGACGCUAGUGUUGAGCAACUCAGUCAACACUGGAUACUAAGCAAAAACCAAAAGAAUGAGUUGAUCUCGAAGUGGCCUUGGCACAACUGAGGAAUUUCAAUUAAUGCCACCCUAAGGGCUAGUCAGGGUUUUGGCUACUAUGAGCUGAAUCUCAGACAAGUUCCAAGAGAAAACAUAAGCCGAGGUUUGGGCUAAACUGAGCCCAGUGGCCAGAAAGCAGGCAGAGUGCACAUUAGGCCAAAGCUCAGAGAGGCAUCCACACAGACGAAACGGCCUAAGGCACAGCCAGGUUCCCAUUUGCGGAGGGGAGUCUUCCGCUAUUUCAUGUCAUGUUCUAAACAUAAGUUGACAUUUGAGAAGCUUGAUACUACUCAAAUUCCUUCUCCCCACUCUCAUGGUUUCAGCUAUAAACUUGUCUCCUCCUAACCCAUCAUACGUUUGAUAUCUAGAGCCAUGUGGCUCUCCAGAAGCCUGUCCAGUAACACCAACUACUUGUAGACAGCAGCUUCAUAGGACUCACCUGCAGUUAAGCCCUUAAUUGGGUAAACAGAUGACAAUUGUUUUGCCCUGCAUUUCUAAGGGGGGAAAGGCGAAACUUUUGUGCCUCCACUGUCAUCUUUUGAGGUGUUUUCUUUGCCUGAUAAUCCAUUGAGGUAUUUCAUCGAUUUGAAAGUGAAGUUGUAGACAGAGGUUCACUUUUCAUUUGUUUUCCUUGGUUUUCAUAGUGUUUGAUAAAGUUACAUAAAACAAAGUGCUAGUAGACAAGCUAUACCAUGCACUAUAAUAUCUUAGAAUUCACACCUAAAUUUAACCAAGUUCUUGGUUGACAGAAUCAAGUCACUAGUACACCAGCUUUUGGAAUUUCUGGAAGCAGAAAAAUUUUCCUAUCAAUAAAGAUACACAAUUACAGGUAAGGAGUCUACAGGAUGAGUAAUUAGGUAAUUGGUUUUCAGUGUUGUUAGGCAGCCAUGGAGAAGCAGAGCCACCCAUCCCUUUCCCUGGGCUUCAUCUUCCCCCCCCCCCCCCGCCCCCCCCCCCACCACCACCUGCCCCACACUCAGUUCUAGUUAUAACCAUUAACUAACAGUGUUGCUUAGAAAGGCUGGGCCUCUCAAGAUCCCAGGUCUUUUCUGUCAAGAAAUUCUAUGUUAAGCAGAUUGCCAGCACAGAACCACACAUCUCUUGAGUCGGGUAUCCAUGUGAUCUUUGCUAUUCUGAGCCCUGCUUCCUUCAUAAGUACAUUGUAAACAAAGUAACUCCACACUGACGGAGAUGAGAGUAGACAAAGGUGCAUGUCCUGACUCGAACUUUUUCUCCAUUUUUCCAGCUUUUUCUUAAAGAAAGUGACCUAGGUGUUUGAGAAGUGUGAUUUUUAGAAGAAAGCUUUAUAUAGUUGACCUAAAGAAACUGCAAUACAAUCUGCUAUGCAGCACCUGUGAAGUCAGUCAAGAGAAUGAAUACGUCCAUCACAUAGCAUGUUCUUGAGUCUCUCACAGAGAUGCCACAUCAUCCCCUUCCCCUGUAACAGGCACUUUUGUCUCUUGACAAGCUUAAGGAAGCCCCACAAUCCUUCUAGUGCUCCGGGUGGCCACCAUCUAACUAGAUAGUUUCCUCACUCUCCCAGCUGCAAAAGCUUCUCCUAAUCAUUCACCUAUCAGGAAAGUGCUUCCAGGUGAGUAAAUCUGGCACUGAAUGAAGAUCACAAGGUGAGAUAAUACAUUUCCCUCCACCUCCACAUCCAGGUAUAAGGUUUCAGCCCACAGGUUUUAUACAAAGUAUCUUCAGAUCAGACAGCUGCUUUCAAAGGGAAUGUAACUAAGACCCCACUCCUUGGUAAGAGGGCUCAAAAGCCACAUGAUGCUUGAAGUUCACUUUAGCUCCCUCCUUCACUAAACACACCACACAAAGGAUGUUUGCUUCCCACAAAUAAGUCUAAUUCAAAAAUUAGACUUUUCCUCCCAUGGUUUUCACCCAAGCUGACCCAAACUUUAGUCUCUAAAGCAGGAUGGAGAGAAGCUAGUUUUUGUGUCUGCCAUUACUCUGGACAGGAGUUUCUCUCCAAUAGAGGUUUUAGGAUUCCAACCGAAGGCUAGAAAUAAAGGCAUUUAGAAACUUCUCAAAGAAAGCAAGAUUACCAGGUUUACUCUAAGCAUAGGGGCUCUAAACUGACGUGUUUCUUUACUGCAGUACAUUAGCUGGGAGAGAGAUUUUGCUAAAGUAUCUUUUAUGCUAAAGGUUAAACAGUACUUAAAAAGCAGGUGACUUAAGAGAUUUGAUCAUGAGUCUCAAAAUUCACGAUCCCAUCUUAAGCUUCCCCAAGAUCUAACUUCCUUUAGAAACCCCAGUGAUAAGAAAAGCUUCUCCUCUGUCUCUAUUUCAAGCAAGAGAAGAGACGCCUGAUAAGACGACUCCAGGAAGUUGCCAUAACCUCCUAAGAGGUAUUUUCUGUCUGCACACAACUAGUUUCCAUUCUUUCAAGUUCCUCAAUCUGCUUAGAUUCCCUCGCCUAUUUACUUCGUUCAUUCUUUCCCUUUUAAAGUAAGCUAACCAAAAUUUCCCUUGAGAUCUACGAAAGGUUUGGUUCUUUCUACCCACCGCUCCUAGCCAGAUAACUUUUUAGCACGCAGUGUGCCUGUAAAACUUUGAACCACGUUCAGACCCCAACCCCAAACCACACCCAGCAGCACCAGAGCAACCU
rnacentral:lncRNA from 1 species